CCCUUAGAUGUUCUGGGCUGCACGCGCGCUACACUGACACUUCCAACGAGUUCUUCCUUGUCCGGUAGGAUUGGGUAAUCUUUUGAAAGAGUGUCGUGCUGGGGAUAGAUUAUUGCAAUUAUUAAUCUUCAACGAGGAAUUCCUAGUAAGUGCAAGUCAUCAGCUUGCGCUGAUUACGUCCCUGCCCUUUGUACACACCGCCCGUCGCUCCUACCGAUUGAACGUGCUGGUGAAGCGUUAGGACUGGAACGUUGCUUAGGUCUCCUAGGCUUCAUUCCGGGAAUUUCGUUGAACCCUCCCGUUUAGAGGAAGGAGAAGUCGUAACA
rnacentral:rRNA from 1 species